rnacentral:rRNA from 1 species
GUGGGGAAUUUUGGACAAUGGGCGCAAGCCUGAUCCAGCCAUGCCGCGUGCAGGAUGAAGGCCCUCGGGUUGUAAACUGCUUUUGUACGGAACGAAAAGCCUCUUUCUAAUAAAGAGGGGUGAUGACGGUACCGUAAGAAUAAGCACCGGCUAACUACGUGCCAGCAGCCGCGGUAAUACGUAGGGUGCGAGCGUUAAUCGGAAUUACUGGGCGUAAAGCGUGCGCAGGCGGUCUUGCAAGACAGUGGUGAAAUCCCCGGGCUCAACCUGGGAACUGCCAUUGUGACUGCAAGGCUGGAGUACGGCAGAGGGGGAUGGAAUUCCGCGUGUAGCAGUGAAAUGCGUAGAUAUGCGGAGGAACACCGAUGGCGAAGGCAGUCCCCUGGGCCUGUACUGACGCUCAUGCACGAAAGCGUGGGGAGCAAACA